GCUUUAACAGAAUCACUCUGGCUGCUCUGUUGACAACAAAUUGAAGGAGGACAAAGGUGAAAGUGGAGAGACCUGUUAAGAGGCCAGCAGAAACUCACUUUUAUCAACUUCAACUGUCAAGUAAACACUUUCUGAGACCACCUAUGUGUCAGGAGCUGAGCUAGGCUCUGUGAGGAGCUUCAUGGGACCCCAGCAUGCUUCCAGAGUAAUUGGGGAUGAUGAUCAUCUCCUUCUGCCACUGCACAAGAAGACCUCACAGGCUGCAACCCUUCCCAUGCCCACUUCCAUGAGGGAACAUCAGGACUUUUUCAAGGUAACUAUUCAGGAGUAGAAUUUCUGGGUCAGACGACGAGUGGAUGUUUACCUUUAUAAGCAACGCCCAAACCGUUUUCCAAAGUUGUCUCAUCCUCUUAUGGUGCCAUCAGCAGUUACAGCUGCUCCACACUGUUGCCAAGAGGUCGAACCGAGUGACUGACAGGGUCUUGGUGUUCUGGCCAAGUGUCAGGCCUGAGCCUUGGAGGUGGGAGAGCCAAGUUCAGGACACUGGACCAUCAGAGUCCUCCCGGCCCCAUGUAAUAUCAAUCAGUGAGACCUCUCCCAGAGACCUCUGUCUCAACGCUAAGACGCAGCUCCACUCAACAACCAGAAAACUCCAGUGCUGGACACCCAUGCCAAACAACUAGCAAGAGAGGAACACAACCCCACCCAUUAGCAGAGAGGCUGCCUAAAAUCAUAAUAAGUUCACAGACACACCAAAACACACCACCGGACAUGGUCCUGCCCACCAGAGAAACAAGAUCCAGCCACAUCCACCAGAACACAGGCACCAGUCCCCUACACCAGGAGGCCUACACAACCCACUGAACCAACCUUACCUACUGGGGGCAGACACCAAAAACAACAGGAACUAUGAAGCUGCAGCCUGCCAAAAGGAGACCCCAAACACAGUAAGUUAAGC